rnacentral:lncRNA from 1 species
AGAUGAAUCAAGAGAACCAGAGUGAGGAGCUGGAUUUGUCCUCAACACAGCAAGAAACUCAGGAAACAAGUCCAAAUGGGCUUCCAGUGACAUCAGAGGCUAAAAUCGUACCUCCACAGCCCUCAGCCUCCAGUUCAGCUCCAUCCUUCUCCUCUCUGCUACCAAAAGCACUGUCUGCUGUUCUUCAUCCAAUGCUGCCCCCAGGCCUCAGUUCUGACCAGCACACCCCUCCAAACCUGGAACAACUGCAGAACGAACUGAGGGACCUGAGGGACCAGUUUUCACAGAUGAAGAGUCAGCACAACAAAGAAAUUAAGCUUCUGAUGAAUGAGCUGGAUGAGGAGAAAAGAAUUCGAUUGACUUUACAGAUGGAGAUCCAACGCAUAAAGAAACACAUGUCUAAAUGA